rnacentral:rRNA from 1 species
CUUGACAUCCAGAGAAUUUAGCGGAGAUGCUUUAGUGCCUUCGGGAACUCUGAGACAGGUGCUGCAUGGCUGUCGUCAGCUCGUGUUGUGAAAUGUUGGGUUAAGUCCCGCAACGAGCGCAACCCUUAUCCUUUGUUGCCAGCACGUAAUGGUGGGAACUCAAAGGAGACUGCCGGUGAUAAACCGGAGGAAGGUGGGGAUGACGUCAAGUCAUCAUGGCCCUUACGAGUAGGGCUACACACGUGCUACAAUGGCGCAUACAAAGAGAAGCGACCUCGCGAGAGCAAGCGGACCUCAUAAAGUGCGUCGUAGUCCGGAUUGGAGUCUGCAACUCGACUCCAUGAAGUCGGAAUCGCUAGUAAUCGUAAAUCAGAAUGUUACGGUGAAUACGUUCCCGGGCCUUGUACACACCGCCCGUCACACCAUGGGAGUGGGUUGCAAAAGAAGUAGAUAGCUUAACCUUCGGGAGGGCGUUUACCACUUUGUGAUUCAUGACUGGGGUGAAGUCGUAACAAGGUAAGCGUAGUGCU